GACGACGCUGGCGGCGUGCUUAACACAUGCAAGUCGAACGAUGAAGCCCAGCUUGCUGGGUGGAAGAGUGGCGAACGGGUGAGUAACACGUGAGUAACCUGCCCAUGACUCUGGGAUAAGCGCUGGAAACGGCGUCUAAUACUGGAUAUGCACAGCGGCCGCAUGGUCAGUUGUGGGAAAGAUUUAUCGGUCAUGGAUGGACUCGCGGCCUAUCAGCUUGUUGGUGAGGUAAUGGCUCACCAAGGCGACGACGGGUAGCCGGCCUGAGAGGGUGACCGGCCACACUGGGACUGAGACACGGCCCAGACUCCUACGGGAGGCAGCAGUGGGGAAUAUUGCACAAUGGGCGCAAGCCUGAUGCAGCAACGCCGCGUGAGGGAUGACGGCCUUCGGGUUGUAAACCUCUUUUAGUAGGGAAGAAGCGUAAGUGACGGUACCUGCAGAAAAAGCACCGGCUAACUACGUG
rnacentral:rRNA from 1 species